GUGAAUCAUCGAAUCUUUGAACGCACCUUGCGCUCUCUGGUAUUCCGGAGAGCAUGCCUGUUUGAGUGUCAUGAACUCUUCAACCCACCAGUUUCUUGUUAGACUGGAUGGUGUUUGGAUUUUGAGUGUUGCUGGUCUUCGGACGUAGCUCAUUCGUAAUACAUUAGCAUCUCAAUUUCGAAUUUCGGAUUGACUCAGCGUGAUAGACUAUUCGCUGAGGACACCUCACGGUGGCCGAAUUUAGAAGACAGUAGAAGCUCAUAAUCAGACCUUAGUCAAUUUUAGAUUAGACCUCAGAUCAGGCAGGAUUACCCGCUGAACUUAA
rnacentral:rRNA from 1 species